rnacentral:tRNA from 1 species
AUUAAAGUAGGCUAAUCAAGCUAUUAGGCCCAUACCCUGAUGAUGAGGGUGAAACCCCCCCCUUUAUUA